UGGGGAAUAUUGCACAAUGGGCGCAAGCCUGAUGCAGCCAUGCCGCGUGUGUGAAGAAGGCCUUCGGGUUGUAAAGCACUUUCAGCGGGGAGGAAGGCGUUAAGGUUAAUAACCUUGGCGAUUGACGUUACCCGCAGAAGAAGCACCGGCUAACUCCGUGCCAGCAGCCGCGGUAAUACGUAGGGCGCGAGCGUUGUCCGGAAUUAUUGGGCGUAAAGGGCUUGUAGGCGGCUUGUUGCGCCUGCUGUGAAAACGCGGGGCUUAACUUCGCGCGUGCAGUGGGUACGGGCAGGCUUGAGUGUGGUAGGGGUGACCGGAAUUCCAGGUGUAGCGGUGGAAUGCGCAGAUAUCUGGAGGAACACCGAUGGCGAAGGCAGGUCACUGGGCCAUUACUGACGCUGAGGAGCGAAAGCAUGGGUAGCGAACAGG
rnacentral:rRNA from 1 species